UGUCAACAGAAUAAAAUAUUAACCAAUGACAGAAAAGAUCGGGAAAUCCCACCCCCGUCUCCAAGCCAAGCAGCGGGUCAGCCCUCAGUGCUUAGCCGGUGGUGACUGCACCUCGGUCGGCUUACGCUUUAUAAUUACGAUGCCUCUUUGUUCGAGGAACAAACUCACCCUUCGACACACUGAAAACUAGAAAUUAAUAUUAUUAACGUGUAAAUUAACAAAAAGUGCAUAUUGUUAUGAUCAAGUAGUGCAAAAUAUAUGUUUUUCAUUGGUAGCACAUUUUAAAACAUUGCAAAUUGAGGAUAACUAUUCGUAAUGGUCAAUAAAAAUAUCAGCAACACACCAAAUGACGUAGAUUUUUUUCGCUGUACAUGUCAAAGUGACGCGUACUAGUAUUUUGUUCAUGAUAUAGCCUAGCACUGCACACUCAUAGCCAAAGGACCUUGUUGUGCGUAUCAAUUGAAUUCAACGUUUCACUGUGUGAAUAACUAUUUCCGUGCUUCCUGCGUGUGUCCGGACAGACUUCAUGUGAGGAACAGCAGCCAAUAAUGGGACAUUGGCACUUUAAAUUCUGCCCCGGGUCAUUCAAAGCGCACAGCCGAGCGCUAUACUGAAGAAAGAGGAAGAGAGUUGAUGGAAUCUAAAGAGCAAUGUAAAGAUCAUUUUGGCUGUCGCUCCGGUGAUAAGGUGGCACUGGGGGUCUGGAGGGAGACAGAGAGGAACGAGGGCUGACCUGAGCUCUGCCACUGUCCUCUACACCGUCUAGAUGACCACUUCACGUCACCUUAGAGACACUGUGGGAAGCAUUCCAGUUUAAGGGUGAUUGUGUGCGUGUGUGUUUGUUUUUAAAGGUGGAAGUGAUGAGAAGACGCCUGAAGAUGCUGGAGAGGAUGGAAAAGUGAAAAAAAAAAACCUUUUGCUUUGCAUAAAAAAAUCUAUCUGCUUGUUUGACUCAGUACAAUAAAGAUCACUAUGAUGACAAAA